AUUGAACGCUGGCGGCAGGCCUAACACAUGCAAGUCGAACGGUAACAGGAAGAAGCUUGCUUCUUUGCUGACGAGUGGCGGACGGGUGAGUAAUGUCUGGGAAACUGCCCGAUGGAGGGGGAUAACUACUGGAAACGGUAGCUAAUACCGCAUAGCGUCGCAAGACCAAAGAGGGGGACCUUCGGGCCUCUUGCCAUCGGAUGUGCCCAGAUGGGAUUAGCUAGUAGGUGGGGUAACGGCUCACCUAGGCGACGAUCCCUAGCUGGUCUGAGAGGAUGACCAGCCACACUGGAACUGAGACACGGUCCAGACUCCUACGGGAGGCAGCAGUGGGGAAUAUUGCACAAUGGGCGCAAGCCUGAUGCAGCCAUGCCGCGUGUAUGAAGAAGGCCUUCGGGUUGUAAAGUACUUUCAGCGGGGAGGAAGGGAGUAAAGUUAAUACCUUUGCUCAUUGACGUUACCCGCAGAAGAAGCACCGGCUAACUCCGUG
rnacentral:rRNA from 1 species